AUUGAACGCUGGCGGCAUGCUUUACACAUGCAAGUCGAACGGCAGCGCGGGCUUCGGCCUGGCGGCGAGUGGCGAACGGGUGUGUAAUACAUCGGAACGUGCCCAGUAGUGGGGGAUAGCUCGGCGAAAGCCGGAUUAAUACCGCAUACGACCUGAGGGUGAAAGCGGGGGAUCUUCGGACCUCGCGCUAUUGGAGCGGCCGAUGGCAGAUUAGCUAGUUGGUGGGGUAAAGGCCUACCAAGGCGACGAUCUGUAGCUGGUCUGAGAGGACGACCAGCCACACUGGGACUGAGACACGGCCCAGACUCCUACGGGAGGCAGCAGUGGGGAAUUUUGGACAAAGGGCGAAAGCCUGAUCCAGCAAUGCCGCGUGUGUGAUGAAGGCCUUCGGGUUGUAAAGCACUUUUGGCGGGAACGAAAAGGACUGUGCCAAUACCACGGUUCGAUGACGGUACCCGCAGAAUAAGCACCGGCUAACUACGUG
rnacentral:rRNA from 1 species